AAAGUACCUCGAUCAACUGAGUCACUUCUUUGAGUUUCAAGAGGACUCAAUUGCAUGAGGUCCUGCAUUUCUUCUGAAAAAGUUCUCUUGUCCUUCCCAGGCAAGGAAGUGAUGAGAAGGCAGCAGGCUGUGGAAGGUGACUGGUACAAGUGCACAACAAGUAAAUUUCGGAGCUGCUUCUUUGUGAGCCAUCUUUAAGACUGUGAUGAAAUGAUGUGACAAAUGCCACGUGGUGUUGGAGCUGGAGGAGUCGCAACCCCAAAGUCCAGAUAGAAGCGAUUGAAGGAGGAGCGCUGCAGAAGCUGCUGGUCAUUGUGGCUACAGAACAACCUCAGGCUGUCAAGAAGA